GAUAGGCUAAUUAAAGGCGUAUGGGGAAUGCCUAGGCUCUCAGAGGCGAUGAAGGACGUGAUAAGCUGCGAAAAGUUACGGGGAAUGGCACACACAUUUUGAUCCGUAAAUAUCCGAAUAGGGAAACCUGUCUGUUUGAAGAACAGUCAUCCAUCUUGUAUGGAAGCAAACCCGGAGAACUGAAACAUCUAAGUACCCGGAGGAAGAGAAAGCAAUAGUGAUUCCGCUAGUAGUGGCGAGCGAACGCGGAAUAGCCCAAACCUAUGUUGUUA
rnacentral:rRNA from 1 species